rnacentral:rRNA from 1 species
UACGUAGGCAGCAAGCGUUGUUCGGAGUUACUGGGCGUAAAGGGUGCGUAGGCGGUUGUUUAAGUUUGGUGUGAAAUCUCCCGGCUCAACUGGGAGGGUGCGCCGAAUACUGAAUGACUAGAGUGCGGGAGAGGAUAGUGGAAUUCCUGGUGUAGCGGUGAAAUGCGUAGAUAUCAGGAGGAACACCGGUGGUGUAGCACGG